GUGGGGAAUAUUGGACAAUGGGCGCAAGCCUGAUCCAGCCAUGCCGCGUGAGUGAUGAAGGCCUUAGGGUUGUAAAGCUCUUUCACCGGUGAAGAUAAUGACGGUAACCGGAGAAGAAGCCCCGGCUAACUUCGUGCCAGCAGCCGCGGUAAUACGAAGGGGGCUAGCGUUGUUCGGAAUUACUGGGCGUAAAGCGCACGUAGGCGGAUAUUUAAGUCAGGGGUGAAAUCCCAGAGCUCAACUCUGGAACUGCCUUUGAUACUGGGUAUCUCGAGUAUGGAAGAGGUAAGUGGAAUUCCGAGUGUAGAGGUGAAAUUCGUAGAUAUUCGGAGGAACACCAGUAGCGAAGGCGGCUUACUGGUCCAUUACUGACGCUGAGGUGCGAAAGCGUGGGGAGCAAACAGGAUUAGAAACCCUGGUAGUCC
rnacentral:rRNA from 1 species